rnacentral:lncRNA from 1 species
UGACAAGAGCGAGACUCUGUCUCAAAAAAAAAAAAAAAAGUCUACAUUGUGACUCAUUGUCUAAACAUAACAAAUGGGAAUAUAAAAUGUUUGUUCUACUCACACCUCUGCAGUAUGGUCCAUAGGAUGGAGAGCUGACGUUGGGCCCAUCGUAGAGUGUGAGAUAGUUCUGGACACAGUCUCCUGGAUCGUCAAUGCUGAUGAAGGAAAAGUUGAGACUGAGGUGGG